rnacentral:rRNA from 1 species
CCUACGGGAGGCAGCAGUGGGGAAUAUUGGACAAUGGGCGAAAGCCUGAUCCAGCCAUGCCGCGUGUGUGAAGAAGGCCUUCGGGUUGUAAAGCACUUUCAGUGGGGAAGAAAGCCUUGGGGCUAAUACCCUCGAGGAAGGACAUCACCCACAGAAGAAGCACCGGCUAACUCCGUGCCAGCAGCCGCGGUAAUACGGAGGGUGCGAGCGUUAAUCGGAAUUACUGGGCGUAAAGCGCGCGUAGGCGGUCUGAUAAGCCGGUUGUGAAAGCCCCGGGCUCAACCUGGGAACGGCAUCCGGAACUGUCAGGCUAGAGUGCAGGAGAGGAAGGUAGAAUUCCCGGUGUAGCGGUGAAAUGCGUAGAGAUCGGGAGGAAUACCAGUGGCGAAGGCGGCCUUCUGGACUGACACUGACGCUGAGGUGCGAAAGCGUGGGUAGCAAACAGGAUUAGAUACCCGUUAGU